rnacentral:rRNA from 1 species
GCAUAAUCAUUUGCCUUUUAAUCGGAGGCUUGUAUGAACGGACACACGAAAACGCAACUUUCUUAUCGAGGAAAAUAAAAAUUAACCUUCAAGUGAAGAGACUUGAGUACCAUAAAAAGACGAAAAGACCCUAUGGAGCUUUACUUAAGUUAUUAAACCACAAAUAAAAAAAGCUUUUUUUACUAAAAAAGUUUAGUUGGGGCGACUAAGGAGCACACACCACCCUCCUACUGACAAAAGACUCUAAAUCUACAAAAGAUCCACAAACGUGAAUAAAAAUCCAGCUACCCUAGGGAUAACAGGCUAAUCCUCCUUAAGAGCUCAAAUUGACAGGAGGGCUUGGCACCUCGAUGUUGGCUUAAGAUCUCUACUAAGUGCAGCAGCUUAGGUAGUAGGUUUGUUCAACCUUUAAAAUCUU